AUUAAAUAUUAAAUUUUACUUUAUUUCAGUGGUACAGUACGUGAUUACUCACGUCCUGUAGAAUGUUCGCGACAUAGGAUAUAAUAUUGACGUGUCUCUAAAAAUUAUUUAGAAAGACUCAACAUGUAUGGCAAAUUAAUUAUUGUGUAAAGUAUAUGACAAAGAAAGCACCAAUAAAAAUAAUAAAAAAAUUCACUUAUUAUUUUAAAAGUUAUUUAUCAUUCUACAAUGUUCGUGAAAAAUAAUCACACCUGUAGAAAAAAAUUGCCGAAAUGCUAAAAUUUUUAUUUUUCAAGUUGGAACAUUAGUUUAUAGCUCUAGCAACUCUAUGAUUUGCCUUCUUAUGACUAGUGUAGGCCAUAUUUCUGCAAGUGAUAGAAUUUCAGAGAAUCAUUAAGUUGUAUAGGCGUUCUACACCAGUGUCAAAGUUGAAGUCUCAUUUCUGUACUCAAUAAAAAAAAUUUUUUCAGGCAUAUCAGGCAAAACGCGAUUGGAGAAAGAAAAAGAGUAACGUUUAGGAAGAACAAAAAAAGGCUUGGAUACCGAAGAAGAGACAAAAAAUGACCAAAGCUGGACCGGAAGGAGCACAUCGAAAAUAUAGAGAAAGAUACUAAAAAAAACUAUUAAGAAGCUGGGAAAAUAAAAUCAAUUUAAGACUACACACCAAGAGCACAAAAAACAAUAAGAAAGAGUUGGCCAGAGCGUGUAUAAGGAUUGAAAAGAAGAUAAUUCUCCUUCAAGUCCAGUUUCACAAAUAUCUACAGUAUUUUCUAGAUUUUCCUUAGAUCAAAGUCUUGCAGACAAAUAUAGAUGAACACUGAAAUUAGAAAAUUUGCUUCUUAAGCUAAGAAAAUUAAGCUGGCAGAGUUUGAAAAACAGCUCGGAUUUGCUCCCAUUACAAAAUUAGGCUUAUUUACUUUACUCCCAAAAAAAACUGAAGACUGAGCUGAUUUAACGAAACCAACCCAUUCACAGCUGGUAUCUGCAGAACCAAUCAUAAUAUAGGAAUAUACAGGAACCCAAUAGCGACAACGUCAAGUCCAGGGUUGAAAUUUUUUACAGAUCAACCUUUGAAUGUGAGGGUACUUCUGAUAUUUUUCAAACUGGAAAAUGCAAACCAAAAAAUAAAAUAUAAUUAGUAUGAUACGUUCGAUAAUGUCAUAAAACAUGUUUUAAAAACUUUUUUUGCUUCGCCAGACGAAGAAAAUGAUAUUUUGUAAUGAUUCUAUUUUCAGGAUCUUAUUCUACAGGAAUCUUAUGUUUAAGUACGUCAUUUCUGUAGAACAUGUUUGUUGAUUUUUUUUAAUAGUUUUUAACUAAAUUUCACUUCCUGAAAUUGACAUAUUAAGACUGUUGACACCAAAAACAAUUAAGCCUGGUUAUUUUUUUUUGCAUUCUUACAUAAAUUUGUAAUUUUAAGAAAAUUCCUGUCACUCAUGGCGAAAUUUAUGUCACUCCU